UACGGAGGGGGCUAGCGUUGUUCGGAAUUACUGGGCGUAAAGCGCGCGUAGGCGGACCUGCAAGUCGGGGGUGAAAGCCCGAGGCUCAACCUCGGAACUGCCUUCGAUACUGCGGGUCUCGAGUCCGGGAGAGGUGAGUGGAAUUCCUAGUGUAGAGGUGAAAUUCGUAGAGAUGCGGAGGAACACCAGUGGCGAAAGCGGCGAUCUGGGAAGAUACUGACGCUGAGGUGCGAAAGCGUGGGGAGCAAACAGG
rnacentral:rRNA from 1 species